rnacentral:rRNA from 1 species
UACGAAGGGGGCUAGCGUUGCUCGGAUUUACUGGGCGUAAAGGGCGCGUAGGCGGACGAUCAAGUUGGGGGUGAAAUCCCGGGGCUUAACCUCGGAACUGCCUCCAAAACUGAUAGUCUAGAGUUUGGGAGAGGUGUGUGGAACUCCGAGUGUAGAGGUGAAAUUCGUAGAUAUUCGGAGGAACACCAGUGGCGAAGGCGGCUCACUGGUCCAUUACUGACGCUGAGGUGCGAAAGCGUGGGGAGCAAACAGG